rnacentral:misc_RNA from 1 species
UACGGAGAGUGCGAGCGUUGUUCGGAAUCAUUGGGCGUAAAGGGCGUCUAGGCGGCUGUUCAAGUCAGGUGUGAAAACCCUCGGCUCAACCGAGGACUUGCACUUGAAACUGGAUGGCUUGAGUACCGGAGGGGGCAGCGGAAUUCCCGGUGUAGAGGUGAAAUUCGUAGAUAUCGGGAGGAACACCAGUGGCGAAGGCGGCUGCCUGGCCGGAUACUGACGCUGAAGCGCGAAAGCGUGGGGAGCAAACAGG